AGCUUUGUGCAGUGGCAGUAUUGUAGCCAAUGAGGUUUAUCUGAGGCAUGAUUAUUGCUAAUGAAAAUUUUUUUCCAAUACACUGCCAUGAUGACUUGAAAUUUAGUCGACUUUGGCAAUUUUUGACAGUCUCUAUGGAC
rnacentral:snRNA from 1 species